AUUUUUCUCUCUAAUGGAUUGGUCUUGUGCUGGAAUUUGUUUGUUACAAGUUGAUUUUAAAAAAUUACUUGUGUGAGUUGUAUCUAGUGGUGCAGAUGUUUUGCUUAUGUGGGAUUUUGUAAAUAUCAAUCAGUAUGAGUUGUAUAGAUAUGAAAACUAAGGAACGACAUUGGGAGAGUUACUAGAACCACAUAGAUACAUUAAAAUAUAGGACUGGUUUACUUGUUUAGAUAUAAAAUUAUAUUAUAUAUUAGGUAUAUAUGCUCACAUAUUUAUUUGGUUUUGGCAAUUGGCAUUAAGAGUGCAGGAUCAUUGUCACCAGGUAUGUGGAGGAGUGGGAGAAGAUUGUGUGGAGGAUGGGACAGUGAAUUGACUACAAGGAUGAGUAUAGGCCCAUGGACUUGAUCUUCAUGGAGAGUGUGUGGUGGGUCUUUGCGAAGCCUUUGAGAAAGUGCCUUGUUUAUAAGGAUUUCAAGUGAUCCAGAGGACAGAUUCACACCUAGACCUGUACUACCAAGGUUUGCAUCUAGCU